UACGAAGGUGGCAAGCGUUGUUCGGAUUUACUGGGCGUACAGGGAGCGUAGGCGGUUGGAUAAGCCCUCCGUGAAAUCACCAGGCUUAACCUGGAAAGUGCAGAGGGGACUGUUCAGCUAGAGGACCGGAGAGGAUAGUGGAAUUCCCAGUGUAGUGGUGAAAUACGUAGAGAUUGGGAAGAACACCAGUGGCGAAGGCGGCUAUCUGGACGGUUUCUGACGCUAAGACGCGAAAGCGUGGGGAGCAAACAGG
rnacentral:rRNA from 1 species